rnacentral:lncRNA from 1 species
UCAAGCACAAAGCCAUUUUGCUUGGAUCAUGAACCAGGCCAAUGGACUGACUGAGAGACAUUGUUUGUUGGAAGUCUGGCGUGUGUAGAUCUACUUCUGAACGAAAUUUAUUUUGCACAGUUUUGAAGUCUGGGACGUCCAAAAUCAAGACACAAGCAGGUCUGGUGUCUGGUGAGAGUUGCUUGUUCUGCUUCCAAGAUGGUGCCGUGGUACUGUAUUCUCAGGAGGGCACAGAUGCUGUUUUCUCACAUGGCAGAAGAAAUGGAAGGGACCAGUUCAUCCAACAUCCCUUAGAGAUGCCAGCAUCAGCUGUCUGCUUACCCAUCCUGCAGUGGAGGUUUGAAUCCCGGCUUCCAGUCUCUUUCUCUGACUCAGAGACAUCAUGGCCAGCUGAACACCGUGCCCUACUCUGAGAUCCCAGAGAGGAGAGGGCAUCAUGCCUCACAGGGCCCGUGGGAAAGGAAGAGUUAUCUGGGACACGCAUGCUCAACCAGCUGGUGGGAAGCAAGAAAAGAAGAGAGAGAGCAAGAGACCAAAGAGUCAAAGCUUUCAUUGGGUUCCAAAGCAUUACCCAAGCAGGUUUCCCGAAGAGAGCUCUAAACAGUGAGUUUAAAGCAAGCAGGUACAAGUUCCAGAAGAUCACACUGUGACUGACAGGAGGUCACUAUGCCAUAUCUACGCAGUCCAUGUGGGGUACAAGGGUCUGAGGAGUGAGUCACAUAGGCUGUUUCUAGCUGUCCUAUAGGAAGGUGGUCAUCAAAAAGCAGUUGUGAAAGGCAGAUAUCUGGAUCCAUCACACUGAAGAACUGGGAGGAGUUAGAGAGUUGUAGACUAUAUCAAGGGUAAUUCCUGUUUCUGGUAUGAGAAAGUCCAAUUUAAAUUUAAAAUAAAGGCUUAGGCAACAUGGGAUUAUAAGAAUUCACUACAGCUACUCUAAUGUAGAGAUGAUGGGGGAUCUAGAGGGAGCUAUGUGUACUGGAGAUUCCUUUUCCCCAAGUUGAUGACAGCUGAUGAGCUUGACUAGGUCAUUAUAAACAUACAUAUUUAUAUGUAUAUUUACAUAUACAUAAUCUGUAUAACCUGUAUUUUCUCCUUGCAUCACUGUAAUAUGUGCCAAAAAAUAUAAAGUUUGAUAUGCAGUUUAACACUUAUCUCCUAUUAUCAAAUGCAAGUUGAAGGUUUUCCCUUAGAUUGUGCGAAGAAUUGUAUUCUCCUUCUAUAUGCAUAUGUAUGAUAAUAUUGUUAGUUAUCCAAUAAUGUUAUUGUGAAAAGAAAUUACAAAUAGGAUAUUUAGCCAUAAUUUUCAAAGGAUGACAUGUGGAGACUACAUCAGAAUUGGCCAAUUAUUCAAUAAAAGUGUAGAUAACUUGGUCCUACCCCUGUCUACUAAAUCAUAAUCUCUGAGAAGAGUCUAGGCACUUGUAUUUCUAACUAAUUCACAGGUGGAAGUUAGGCACAAUAAAGUUUAAGAAAUACUUGCAGAUUUAGGUGAUUAAUAUAAGUACUAGAUUAUUAUAUACCAGGUAUCAAAAGAAUAUUUGGUAUCAUGAAAUAAAUUUUAAAAUAAAUAGAAUUUCAUUUUCAAUAGUAAUACUCAACAUUGGUACCAUUAAACUUGACAUUUGGAAUACAACUUUGAGAUUGAAACCCAUACGAAAACUUGCAAAUGCUUUAUGCCUUUUCCUUUCUUAAAUAACAUCUUCUCAUUCCAAGGUUGUAAAAUAUUUUGACAUAAAAUCAGUAUAUAGAAUAGUUUGUUUCAGCAAUAAAAAAUAAUCACAGGAAAUUUAGGGACAGAAGGUUAUUUACAUUACCUCUACCAAUUACGUAAUUUCACAGAGAGCAAGACAAAGUGGUAGUUAAAUGCUUCUAUUGAAGCAUUGCAGUUAGAAAAGAGUUGCAGUUAGAAUUGCAGUUAGAAAAGAGCCAGUAUUUGAACCUACACUUAGUAAUAUCUUACCUGUUCUCCACUGUCUUCCUUCUACACUACUAUACCUUUCUCUUUGUUUUUUUGUUUUUUCUCACAUGGUGAAUAUCUUCUAAUCAAAUCACAAUAUGGCCUCAAACAAUAUAUGACUAAGGUGUUUUGAGGAACAGAUUGGAUGUAUGGUCUGAUUUUAUCCAUGCACUAUUGCACGUAGGAAAUUCUAACUGAAGUCAGUGCUCAACCUCCACUGUGAAAAAGAAGAAAAACUGAAAAUGACACAACUCUCCAUACAGACAUAAAUCACCCAGAACACUAUUUCUGGAUAUUAAGCCAAAUUCUCUCUAUUCUUUCUAUUCAAAUAAACAAGACUAAGCAUGAGAAAAAUGAAGCUGGAAAAAAAAAAACACAGAAAGUUCUGUCUUUAUUCAAAGAAAGCCAAAUCUAUUUUCAACGUUAUUUCUGUCUGGCAGAAUAGAUUGUGUGUGUGUAUUUUCUUAAUAAUAUGUGAAGAGUAAAUCUGAGACCCAGACUUUGUGUGGUUAAAUAUGGGAGACUGACAAUGUGUUUCUCUCCACUGAUUUUGCAGCCCCUCUAAAUGAGAGUGAGCAUGCACAAAAUAUGCAUAAAACAUUAAGGGCAGAUAGAAUAGCUGAGACAAUGAAGUCAGAGAAGUUAUUUUUAGAAACCAGAAAAUAGAUGGACAAGUGGUAACAUAUUUAGGAAACUAGAGGAAGUUGUGUUCUAACUCUAUUUUGAUGUGUCCCCAACCUUCAUAGUUUUUAUGUCAGUGCAGCAAAUAUCUUCAUUCUUUGGCCAUUGUGAUCCUUUUCCAUUGGCUCCUGUGUACUUUAAACAACACCCCAGUACCUUUGAAAGCUUCUUUAUUUUCUGAUUUAUAGAGCUCGGUCAAGUCCAUUUUAUAUGCUUUCUGCCUCUAACCUGAAAGCUGUUUCUCCAAAGAGUCCUGGUUACUUUGAGUGUGAAAGAAAUAUUCAGAGAUCAUAAUCUGGGCACCCAGUGUGAUCAUUUUGACUGAGUCUGUUCACUUCACCCCAAAGUAAUUCUAUCAAUACUGUUGGUUUGGUAUGACCCAGUUUCAGGUUCAUUCUUCUCAAAGCAGUCUUGCCAUUUGACUCUUCGCUCAUUGUCAUGUUUUUAGAAACUCUAAAUAUUCACUGUCCCGAAGUGUGACACAUGAGACAUUAUCAACAGAAUUUAGGAAAUAAUUUAAUAUGAUGCUGUCACUGUCUAACAUUCUUGCUUAAGAGUGGGGAAAGAUUAUUUUUAGCUGCCAUGAUGUUAGUGUUGAUGACAGGACAAGAGAGUUUGUGGCUAUUUGUAUUCUCACAACAAACUUUAUACUACUUCUUAAUAAAAAUUUCCAUUUUCGUGUGUGUAUUGUGAAGCCUAAUUGUCAACCAAGUACACUUUGACUUCUAAUCAUAUUUCCAAAGGUAUGAUGAAAAAAUAGACACUUAGAAGACAUAACACAUAUAGUACCUUCUUAAAGGCAGUUUUCAACCUAUUUCAGGAGACAAACAUAAUACUAAAGCAAGAUUUAAGAAAAAACACACAGAAUAGACAAAGCUGUGGAAUAAUAUAAUAGAUAUAUCAAUUAUAUAUAAUUUUAGAAGAGAAAUAAAUUUGAGCAAGAAAUCCAUCCAUUCAUUUAUAUAUUCAUUCAGAUAUUUACGUAUCUUUUUGUGGGGAAAAGCAAGAGAGAUCAGAUUGUUACUGUGUCUGUGUAGAAAGAAGUAGACAUAGGAGACUCCAUUUUGUUAUGUACUAAGAAAAAUUCUGCCUUGAGAUUCUGUGACCUUACCCCCAACCCCGUGCUCUCUGAAACAUGUGCUGUGUCAACUCAGAGUUGAAUGGAUUAAGGGCGGUGCAAGAUGUGCUUUGUUAAACAGAUGCUUGAAGGCAGCAUGCUCCUUAAGAGUCAUCACCACUCCCUAAUCUCAAGUACCCAGGGACACAAAAACUGC